GAUGAACGCUGGCGGCGUGCCUAAUACAUGCAAGUCGAGCGAACAGACGAGGAGCUUGCUCCUCUGACGUUAGCGGCGGACGGGUGAGUAACACGUAGGUAACCUACCUAUAAGACUGGGAUAACUUCGGGAAACCGGAGCUAAUACCGGAUAAUAUUUCGAACCGCAUGGUUCAAUAGUGAAAGAUGGUUUUGCUAUCACUUAUAGAUGGAUCUGCGCCGCAUUAGCUAGUUGGUAAGGUAACGGCUUACCAAGGCAACGAUACGUAGCCGACCUGAGAGGGUGAUCGGCCACACUGGAACUGAGACACGGUCCAGACUCCUACGGGAGGCAGCAGUAGGGAAUCUUCCGCAAUGGGCGAAAGCCUGACGGAGCAACGCCGCGUGAGUGAUGAAGGUCUUCGGAUCGUAAAACUCUGUUAUUAGGGAAGAACAAACGUGUAAGUAACUGUGCACGUCUUGACGGUACCUAAUCAGAAAGCCACGGCUAACUACGUG
rnacentral:rRNA from 1 species